rnacentral:rRNA from 1 species
AUUGAACGCUGGCGGCAUGCCUUACACAUGCAAGUCGAACGGCAGCACGGGAGCAAUCCUGGUGGCGAGUGGCGAACGGGUGAGUAAUAUAUCGGAACGUGCCCGGUCGUGGGGAUAACGUAGCGAAAGCUACGCUAAUACCGCAUACGAUCUACGGAUGAAAGCGGGGGAUCGCAAGACCUCGCGCGAUUGGAGCGGCCGAUAUCAGAUUAGGUAGUUGGUGAGGUAAAGGCUCACCAAGCCGACGAUCUGUAGCUGGUCUGAGAGGACGACCAGCCACACUGGGACUGAGACACGGCCCAGACUCCUACGGGAGGCAGCAGUGGGGAAUUUUGGACAAUGGGCGCAAGCCUGAUCCAGCAAUGCCGCGUGAGUGAAGAAGGCCUCGGUUGUAAG